rnacentral:lncRNA from 1 species
UGGUUUAUUCUCAUUUCUCUUUUCACUUAAAUAACUCAGUUGCCUCUAAUCUAUUGUUAAACCCAUUGAUGUUUUGCUUUUUUGUGUUUUGUUUUUGUUUUGAGAUAGAAUCUCACUCUUGCCCACACUAGCCUUGACCUCAUGUGCUGAAGUGAUCCUCCUGCCUCAGUCUCAGCAUGUAGCUGGGACUAUAGGCAUGUGCCACUAUGUCCAUUUAUCUUUUGUUAUUUGUUGCAGUUGUAUUUGUAUAAGUUCUUUUUCAUAUUUUUCUCCCAUCUUCUAUGUUUCUUUUAUAUUUUGAAGAUACUUUCAAACUUGUAUUUUAAUCUGAAAACAGUUUCAAAUCUAUUUUAUUUCAACACAAGUAUGUGUGUCUGAUACUUCCUAGAUUUGUUUAUUGUGCUGUUUUGUGGUGAGUUUUUAGAUUAAAUUUAUUUCUUUUUGUGGGGUGUUGGGAAUUGACCCCAACACAUGCUAGGCAAGCACUCUACCACUCAGCUACACCUCCAGCCUAUGAUGGCUUUUUAUUUAUCAUGUGUUGCCCAUUCUAUUUGAGAAAUUAUUUGUAGAAACAAUCAGAAAUCUAAGGAUGUAAAAAGCAAGUGGAUUGGUUCAGAGAUAGAGUACACACUGAGGACCAACUUCUUAACAUACUAACUAUUGGGGGAUACACAUAAAAUCAAAAUUAUAGCAGUACUUGUUAUGAACUGAAUGUAUCCGCCCAAAAUUGAUAUACUGAAAUCCUAACCCCAAUGUAAUGAGUCCUUUGGUAGGUAAUUAGGUUUUGAUGAGGUCAUGAAGGUAGAUUGCUCAUGAUGGGAAUAGUUCCCUUAUAAGAGACCAGAGGGUGCUUGAUCUUAUGUUUUCCCCUGCCUACCCCACUCCUCUACCUUAUAUAUACAGAAAAAGGCAGCUGUCUAAAAGCCAAGGCAGCCCUCACCUGAUCAUGCCAGUACCCUGAUCUCAUUCUAUACCCCAGAAUUGUAAUAAACAAAUUUAUUUAACCUACGUAGCUUAUGAUAUUUUAUUAUAUCAGCCUCAGCUAAGAUAUUAAAUGAUUUUCAUUUAUUUCUGGCAGGCAGCUAAGGCCUUGACUAUUCUCACCUUAGUUCUGUGAUUGAAAUUCUCUUAAUUAUUUAGGUAAGGAAACUGGGUAAUCCCUUUAGCAUGUGGCUCUGUAGACCCCUUUAAUGAGAUAAUAAUGGCAUCAGAGACCCCAUCUGGAGUUGAAUCUACAUUUUUUUUACUUCUCUGUCAUUUGUCCUUAUACGGUCAUCAAAAGUUCUAGGCUUAUCUGGGUUUUGAGCUUCUAGGUUUUUGUCAGGCGAAUUUCUCAUCUUUUUAGUUAUCUAGUGCUUUCCAGUUUAAAAAAAAAUACUUCACCCUUCUUCUUAAUUGUUUUCAGAAGUAUAGUUUUGAAUUACCUAGGCCACAGUUGUAAGCAAAAGCAAGAAUGUACACAAUAAAAGUAAGUGCCGCCAGGCGCAUGCCUAUAAUCCUA